rnacentral:pre_miRNA from 1 species
CAAGUACUCCCUCCGUCCGGAAUUACUUGUCAUAAAAAUGGAUGUGUCUAGAACUAAAAUACAUCUAGAUACAUCCAUUUCAAUGACAAGUAUUUUCGGACGGAGGGAGUACAGG